rnacentral:rRNA from 1 species
GCAAGAUCGACUAUGUCGAUUAAAGUUCUGGGUAGAAUUAUGAUAAUGACAUUGUCUAUCUGUGAGUCUUGUCCAAAUUACGUGCCAGCAGACGCGGUAAUACGUAAAAGACUAGUGUUAUUCAUCUUGAUUAGGUUUAAAGCGUGCCCAGACGGUUAAUGAAGCCGUAAGAGGUACUGAUUAACUAGAGUUAGAUGUAAGGGAGCUAUUACGUACUGUUGAGUUUAGAGAUAAAAUGCUAUUAUACCAUAUGAUUGGCACGGGUUUAGGCGAAGGCAUCUCCUUAUGUAAUAACUGACGUUGAAGCACGAAGGCAUGUAUAGCAAAAAGGAUUAGAUACCCUAGUAGUCUUAGCAGAAAAUUAUGAAUGUCAUAGGUUGAAUAUAAUUUUAUCUAUAAAUGAAAGUGUAAGCAUUCCACCUCAAGAGUAAUUUGGCAACAUUGAAAUUGAAAUCAUUAGACCGUUUCUGAAACCAGUAGUGAAGUAUGUUGUUUAAUUUGAUGACCCGCAAAAAACCUUACCACAAUUUGAAUAUAUAUUUACAAGCGUUGCACGGCUGUUUUUAGUUAAUGUCGUGAGAUAUUGG